AGAUUCCAUUAGACAAUGUUAACAGUUAUACGCUAUAUCUACACUUUUUUUUUUUUUUUUUACCUAUAUUGGGCUUUUGGCCUGAAAUACCCAAAUAACUAGGGUUUAAUAUUCCAAUAAUAUUCAAAAAAAAUCUUUAAAUAUGUUUUUUUCAUUUACUCACCUCCAGAAAUAUCCAUUAUGCGAGAUUCCCUUAUUCCGAAUAUUAUUAUUAUUAUUUUAAUCUGUCCGUGCAGCUCAAUAUUCGGGCCUUUAUGUUUGCGCUAAAGCAAUGCUGACAACGUUAAAAAAUAGUUCUGUCCCUAACUAUCUAAAAGUUCGGAAUGAGUUUUUUUGAGAGAUGUAUGCUACACCCCAACCCAUGUAUGUCUGGUUUAGAGAACACAGGCUGUGAAUUCAAACAACAGGAGGGGAUGUCGUGACAUUCUGUCUGCAAACGGGGUGUGUGGGGGCCGCAGAUUAGAGAUAUCUAUGUUUAACCCCCGCUGUUCGGCUGAUAUCUCGACAUGCCUUAUGCAUGAUAGUGCACACCUUGGUUUCAAACGGUUCUCUACAGAUAAGAGUUCUGGGACCCCCCCAACCUUAGGAUUUAUGUUACACACACACCCAACCACACACACACACACACGCCUGUUGCUCCGCCUCAAGACCCCUCCCCACACACACACAAACACUCUGAUUCUAUUUUACUUCGCGACAGAGCUGGAAGACGUUGUUAAAUAGGUUUUUCCCAUAGUUAAAGGGUGAGAUACCGUUUUUAAACAUUCCUUUUAUUGAAUUCCAAAAUAUUUCGUACAACCUUUAAGACAUGUUUGAAUUAAGUAACCCAUUUGAAUAAUAUUUCCUGCCAGGGAAAGAUCCGCCUUCGAACUUGUUGUUGUUCCGGGGUAUGUCUCAACGAUAACCUAGGCCAUCGCCGUAAUUGUUCACGAUUUUCGAAAAGACUGUCCAGCUUAUUCAUCAGGGUUCGGAAAAUGUGGUAAUCGCGCCAUUUAAAACUGAACAUUAUUUGAAAAAAAUUUACAUCCUUGCAUGCUUUGGAGGAUACAUAUGGAAUGCAAGCCCUGACACAUCCGACUAGAGUCGGAGCCGGUGUAGUAGGAUUCAAUCUUAGUCCUGUUGUCACGUCCUGACCUUAGUUCCUUUUUUAUGUCUCUAUUUUAGUUUGGUCAGGGCGUGAGUUGGGGUGGGUAUUCUAUGUUUUGUGUUCUAUGUUUUCUAUCUCUAUGUGUUUGGCCUGGUAUGGUUCCCAAUCAGAGGCAGCUGGCAAUCGUUGUCUCUGAUUGAGAACCAUACUUAGGCAGCCUGUUUUCCUACUAUGGGUUGUGGGUAGUUAUUUUCUGUUUAGUGUUUUUGUUGCAUCCGGUGCCUGCUCCACGCACCAGGCCUCCUGUAGGUCUCCCCAGCCUGGUGGGUCCUGUGGCAGCCCCACGCACCAGGCUGUCUCUCCGUCUCCUCCCUCCAGGUUCUCCCGUCUGUCCGGAGCUGCCAGAGCCACCCGUCUGUCAGGAGCUGAGGUACUGAGGAAUCCGUGGAGAAAAUCGCUGUUCCACAUCUCAAGCACUAAGUCGAUGACAGCCUUGUGCUAGCAGUGCCAAAGGAACAACUAUAAGAUAUUCAGAUCUGCCAAUCUGCCAGUUGCUGUUAAAUCGGCUAAGCUGAACAAGCAAGAUCAGCAUCUCCUGCAUGUUCAGAGUUAGCGGUCUGUCAACCAAAAAAUGGUUGCUGACUGCAAUACCACCUGUCAAGACCUGCCUUUGUCCCUGGGAGAGGCCCUACUGAACCAGCAAGCAAAGACAUCAGGAUGCAUUUCAUUCUGCUUGCACAGGUCUUUGUAUUUCUAUUGAUGUAUGUAUUGCUAAUACUGUACCAUGCACAAGCUCCACCACAGUCUGGACAUUCAAUUCCUGAUCACAGUCCACAUCAAGUUUUCCCCCGACUGGUUCUUCGGCCUCAUCAAGCAGCACUUCAGAAAGACCAGAGUGAACACUUUGUCAAGGAUUGCUGGCAUGGUGAAGGACAGCCAUGUGACAGGGACCAACAUCCCACAGCUGGUUGGACUGGAGGAUGGUACAGUGCUGGUGGAAAGAUAUGGCUGGCAACAACACCUAACUCAGUAAUUCAGGCCGCUGCUACAGAUCAAGCAGUACCAGCACUUCAGCUUUGAUGCUCUGGAGCCUGGUGUUGUCGCCAAGGAGCGUUCGGACUCAGCUGGGACCAGGUUUUAGCUGCUGUCAUGAUGUUAGCCUCUUUGGGUAUAGCAACCCCAUCCCCCUCUCCCUGCCUCCCCCUUGCCUCCUUCAACUAGGCUGCUGUGGUCAGAGGUCGUAAAUUCCUGAGAAGACCCUGCCACAUGGCCACACAGUAUAGAGAGAGUAGAUUUUCAUGGAGAACAAAGGAAAUCCUUCCACCUCAUAGAACUUGAGGUACGAACAUUUCAUGUUCCGGAGAAAGUAUAAAAGAACGGUGAAGAAUCCAGCUACGAACUGGUCCGUUUGUUACAACUUGGGGAAGCUCAUGGGAGACGGUGUGGCCACAUUACCAUAACGCUGUUUAUAUAAUAGCCUCAGAUAUGAGGUUUACAUCUAAUUGUUGUAUAAGAUGAAUGAGUGAGUAUGAUACUGUUUACACAAUUUUACAAUGUGAUUUUGGACUGUUUAAUGAGGGAAAACUCAAAAAGGGGAUUGGAGUUAACUAAAUCAGAGGACCGCCCCUGAGCCCAGUUAGGGUCAGACAUCCUGGGACAGCCUUUUCUGCCAUUCUGAAUAAAACACCCACUCUGGUUUUCGAUCAGCAGACCGAGCUUACCUCAAUUACGAGAUGGCUAAAGGUUGCAGACCAUGUUUUUCUCCAUUAGGAGGACAAAGUUUGUGGACCAUUGCUGAAUCUUUUAACCAUACCACAUGAUUAAAUUCUUAGACUAUCGAUACCGACAGAAUAAGAACAAGUCUUUGAUAUUAAUUACUAGUCUGCAGCUAGGAAUUAGGUAUCAUUGAACGCGAAGAACGACAACCGCCGAAACAUCCAUUCUAUAACGAAACGAAUGAAUGUCACUCUGAACCAACCACUAUAACCACGACAGAGAGGGAGAGAGACGGACAAUUCUACAAAAUAAAUUAACUUUUCACCAGCGAUCAAGAUGACACAAUGAGCGUAAAUAUAUAUAUUGAUUGCAAUUGUUCCCGGAUGAGUGAGUGUUCAUGUGCAAAGGAUUAGCAAUUCAAUUGUUAUAAUUAUCACUUUGGAGUGACUUCUUAGUUGACCCCCACUUCCCCUUUUGUCUAACAAGCUGCCAUGCUGGUUUAGCCCAUUAGGGCACAUUCUCCUAUCAUUUCAUGUAACCACAUUUACCUUGUUUGUUUGUUUAUGCAUUUCUGUGAAUUACUUAGUUGGUAAUAAAUAAAUGAUUUAAGACAA